rnacentral:snoRNA from 1 species
GCCUUCCAGUUUCCUCGCCGCAAAGAUCGAAAUAUCGGUCUGAGUUUUUAUAAAAAGGAGGAAAAGUAAAACUGAAGUGGACUUGAAUUCUUUAACGACACACAAGUUCAUUUCAAACAUUU